GUGGGGGAUAUUGCACAAUGGAGGAAACUCUGAUGCAGCGACGCCGCGUGAGUGAAGAAGGCCUUCGGGUCGUAAAGCUCUGUCCUAGGGGAAGAUAAUGACGGUACCCUAGGAGGAAGCCCCGGCUAACUACGUGCCAGCAGCCGCGGUAAUACGUAGGGGGCGAGCGUUGUCCGGAAUUACUGGGCGUAAAGAGUUCGUAGGCGGUCUGAUAAGUCAGAUGUGAAAGGCGUAGGCUUAACCUAUGUAAGCAUAUGAAACUGUCAGACUUGAGGUAAGGAGAGGAAAGUGGAAUUCCUAGUGUAGCGGUGAAAUGCGUAGAUAUUAGGAGGAAUACCAGUGGCGAAGGCGACUUUCUGGACUUAAACUGACGCUGAGGAACGAAAGCGUGGGGAGCAAACAGGAUUAGAAACCCUAGUAGUCC
rnacentral:rRNA from 1 species